UUUCGUCGAUGUGAGUACUAGGCUUAAAGGAGGUCAGUGCAGAUGAAAACGGACGCCUAAUCCAAGCUGUUGUCCAUUAUUGUGGGACUUGACCGACAGGAAGCAAUACCAUAACAGGGGCAAAGGAACAGUGGGAGGGACCAUGGCGAGUGGACUUCGAUCUCCACAUGGACAUCCUCCCGGGCGUGUCCUCGUAAAUAAACAGAACCACCGGUAAUACGAUAUACGACGACCUCUUCAAUAGGACUCCGGACAUCACCACCAUCAGCUACUUGUCCAGCUUAAACGGAGCUUGAGGACUCGCUGACCUAUAGGUUUAAAUCCAUUAACGACCUAUUAAUCCGACGGUUACCCAUUUAUAAUUUGUUAUUUACAAGUAACGAGAUACAGUAUUUUGCAUUUAUAUCGAACAGAGUAAGUAAAAGCAAAACCGACUACAAAACACGUAAAUUUAUGAGUCAAGCGCUUAGGUUAGAUAUUAUAAGUCAGCCAUGGAAGCAAUCCAAUACCAGUUGAAACUAUUAACAUCAUGCAUUUUAAUAACAUACAAAAAAAUUUUGAAAUAAAGAGAAUGUUAGUACGUAGUUUGAAGCUACCUACAUUAUUUUUCUAGAUGUGCCGCGAACUUAAUAAAUGAGUUACACGCAAACUCGUCGACUCCUUUGAGCCUUGUAAAAACUUAA